ACACAGAUACUGAGAGACAAACACAGGCGCAGAUAGAGAUACAACUACAGAUAGGGAAAAGUAUCUGCUACUGCUGGUGGCUUUACAGCCUCAAUAGUUGGCUGCUAUUUGAAUAAGUAUUUUUCAUUGAAUUUCGUUUCGUUGUGGGAGUGAGAGUGUCAGAGUGAGAGAAGAGGGAAAAAACUAGUAAUUAAGAUGCACGAGGCAAACGGCGGAAGCGAAAAGAUGGCGAACCUCUGCUCAAAUUGUGGGCGGCAUCGUGGGAGGGGGCGUGGCAUGGAAAAGCUCGACGCCCGUUUCACAUGAACAAUUCGUGGCGAUAAUUUAUAGAAUAAAUGAAAUACACUUCAUGGCUACACACACAAAAAAAAGAAGAAGAAAAAUAUAAAACGAAUACUAUAUACUCGUACUAGAAAAAAAAAACUACCUCCGGCGGCGAACAAGUCCGUUCCGUAAUUAAUCUAUCUGCGGUUUUUGACGUGCUUUGAAUAGUCCCAGCGAUUAUGGCUCGCUGAUCAUCAUCAUCAGCAUUAACAUCAAAAUCAACAUCAACAUCAAAAUCAACAUCUCAGCUCAGCUCAGCUCAACUGAACUCAUCAUUGUGUGGGCUUACCACAAAAGGUACCGAGCUUAUUAGAUGCCACCUUCUUUUGACUUAUGACAAAACAACAAAAGUGCGCACAUAUAUACUAAUAAACGACGCGACAGCCAAAAGAAUGCAACUUAAUUUGUAUGCCAAAAAAUAUGAUAAUAAAACGACCCAAAACAAAACGAAGCAUAACCAAACGAAACGAAACGAAAGAAGCGACAAGUCAAACAAAAAGUUGAGCACCCAACAAAGGAACAUCAGACAGCGAAAUGUCUGCGAGUAUCUCGGACUCGAACUCGAACUCGGGGACUCGGACUCGGAUUCAGAACCAGACUCGUAUUCGGACUUCAAAUGAAAUCAAAAGUGCAAAUGACAACAAAAGGCAGGAAUGGGGGGACUCAGGUUUACGGGCAGGCCGAGUCUGAAGAAGAUUGAAGCACAGAGGGAAGGGCAGGCGGCUGGUUAAUGAGAGCCAGCAAAAAAAACUCAGAUACAAGUACAAUACCACGGCGCAGAGGAACCAGCGGAGAAAAUCAUUUUCGAGGUGGCACUGGACGAUACUUAUUGAUUAGCAUAUGGCGAAUGUUGAUUGGAUAGGGUUCGACUGAAAUAUACUCCAGUUCUGACAUUUCCUUUUUCAGACCAGCACUCCACCAUUUUGCUUGGUAAAUAGCAAUGAUUGGUUUUCAGUUACAUAAGGCAGAAAACAAUAGAAGACAAAUAAAUAAACAGUUUGGAUUUUAAAGGUAUUGUAGCAACUUAAGACAGCUUUUGUUCGAAAUUCAGUUUAUUUGAACAACUGAAGAUCGUUUCUUUAAACACGUUUUUCGCUCAAAUACAUCCGACAGUUCUUAUAAACCAAAGUUGGUUGAUAUGGUAUUGUUAGUAGAUUUACUUAAAAAUAAAAAUAUUCUGCGAUUUUAAGAACCCUCCACUUGUACAGGGUAGCACAGCAAAAUGUAUAUCAUCGUGUGCAAAAUGUGAAGACAAACCAGCAGCACCAACAAAAAAGCCAGCGCCAAUAAUCAAUUGGAGUGUCUGUCUUGGGUUUUAUUUUUUCGGGGCGUUAAUGGGAGGUGGUGGGGAGGUUUGGUGCUGCUCUUGGUGGCUCGGUGGCUCGGUGGUUCUGCUGUGGCUCGGUGUGGUUAGUUACCGCCAGCGGCGGCCGCAUAAAGUGGAAGACAAGUGGCGGCAUGGACAAGUGCCAUAGAAAUUGCGAUUGUCUGUGGGUGGGUGGGUGUGUGUGAGUUUGUGUGUGUGUGAGUGUGGGGAUUGCACAAGAGCCAAAUGAAAAGAACGCAAUGCAAACGCAAGAUACCAAAAAAGCAAUAGCAAAAGCUAAGAGAAUCCAAAGCAGAAGCACAAGCACAAGCAGAACAAGAAGAGGAUGGAAGGCAAAGGCACAACACUCAAGCACGCACUUCAGACGCAAAAGAGACGGACGGAGUGCCAAACGGACGGACAGCGCGGACGGACAGCGGCACAACGCAACAAGAACCGCCGGACGGGCCAACUUCAGAUACUCUUCUGGCAUUCCCCAAAAUGACAUUCAACUUACUGUACCCCAUUUGGAAAAGGGUAUCAAAGAGAUAUAGACAAGGCACAGGCUAUUUUAUAGCUGCUUGCUGAUGAAUGACUUGGGCGGUUUGCUCUCAAGGAGGCGGGGCUACGGGGCGUCAGGUGCGGAAAUGUCAUUUGAGCCAUUCGAUUCGAUGACGGUAUGGAUGGUGAUAAUGAUAUGGAUGAUGAUGAUGAUGAUGAAGACGAUGACGAACUACGUCCAUCCACGAGCUCUUGUUGUGCACGUUCCAUCGUUGCGAGUUCCAACCAUUACACAUACGAACUUUCAAUAGUACAAAAGUACGAAGAGAACAAAAUCCAUGAGGAGGAGCACAGUCACCCACCAGUUAGCAGUUCAAGUGUUUUUCCAGAAGCAGAACAAUGGAGGUGGAAGAAGCAGCAGCAGCAGCAGCAGCAGCGGCAAGUAAUGCAAACAAAUUUUGAGAUACGAGUACGAAGAGUUAAUGAAAUUAUGUAAUUGAAGCGACGGACUUUUGAUGAUAAAGAGUAACAAGUAGGUAGUAGCAAUAUAGAGAGCAAAUUUAGUUAUUUAAUAACAAAACAAAAGGUUGUAAAGGUUGUAUUCCGAUGGAGUGAUAAUAUUUUAAUAUAUCGAAUAUUUAAUGAGCAAAAUACGUACUAACAGUUCACUCAAUGCCAAAUCUCGGAGCACUCAAGAACAGAUAAAGGCAAUUCAAUAAUUCACUUCCACCAGCGCAAUUAACGCGCUGAAAACAUUCGCAAUGUCAACGCGAGACUUGGCUGCAAUCCAUCAAAUCGAAAGAUUCAGUGCGAGCAAACUGAAGAAACAGUAGAGAUCGGUUGGAAAUGGAGAGGGGCAAAGCAGAUAAGUAUAAACUUCCCAUAAUAGCGCUAAUUGUAUGAUAUUUAAAGUUGAUUAUUAAGCUGCCACUCAGAGAGCAAAUAAAGCGCAUUUAACAAUAAAACAAU